GUUUUUUUUUUCAUUAAAAUAAAAUUUUUUUCAUUAAAAUAAAAAUUCCCACCCAGCACAGCUGAUUUGUGGAUUAAUUUUUGUCCUUUUAAUAUUGUAAAUAUUUUUCUAUUUGCUAUCCUAAAAUCGGAUUAAAAGGUAAUUUUCUACUCCAAAGUACAGGAUAUCUUAAAAUACAUAUAUUAAUAUAGAUACAACACCCAAACAUUGAUCAGUAUUCCCAGAGGCAAUUCCCAAAAUUAUUUGUUGGUAUCCCGAGAUUCCCGUACAAAUCCCCCACAAUGGAAUCAACGGCACCACCUCAAAAUGCAAAUUUUGGGAGAAAAGUCAUGGCACACAGCGGCUCCGGGUCCGCUCCCCAGCUCGGCUGUGCCACCCUGUGGAUAUCCUGGAAUAUUCCACAUUCCCGGAUUUUGGGGAAGCUGACGGGAGCUGCUGUGAAGCAAGGGAAGAGAAUUUCCCCGUUAAAAACUCACCCCAAAGCCCCAAAUCCACCACAAAGGGAAAAGGCUGGAACAGCACCAGCUCAAGGGAAUUUUCUGGAGUUGUGUUAUACCCAGGAAGUGCCCAAAAAAAGCAAUUUUUUGGGCAUUAAAUACAGAGCUUUGGGGGUAUUUUGUUUUUAGGAAAGCAGAAGUUGCCACAAGUACCUGUUCUCCUCUCACCCCAACAAGAAAGGUUUGUAAAACAGCAAUUUUCUACGGAGCAUCCCCCACAAAGGUGUCUGAGGGUGAAAAUGAUGAUUUACUGGUUAAAUCUUCCUUAGAACAUUGCAACUUCCAUAACAAGGAUUUCAUUUCCCUGCAUUUUCCAUGAAAACAGCCCUGAUCCAUUCAGUGAAUAUACAGAGGUAAUUAAGUAAAACUGAAAUAAAAUUGUUAUUAACAUUUACAGCAAAAUAACUCCACGCUUCCAGCCUGCAACACACAACCAUUUAACAGGUAAAAACCUCAACCCAGAGCCUUUAAAAGUCACUUUUUUCAAAUAACCUCUGUGUUUCCUGCUGAAAAAAAAGGUGAAUAUUCUAUAAAGAAACAGGCAGAGCAGCAGAGUUGCAAGUUUUAAUGUUUAUUUCCCCAAGACAGCCUAGCCUGCACUCUACUUGGAUAAAUUCACAAGCUAGUUUUCCGCUGCUUCUAGUUUUAAACUUUUAACCAUGUUUCUGAUGACAAGGAAUGCUGCAAAAAUACUCUAGUCCAACAAAGAGUUAUGAUCACAAAAUAAUCUUUAUCCAUUCUACAGUGUUUCAGAAUUACCAGCUGAUUUGAAAACACAAGGUAGAUAUAGAUGCUAAUGGUGGCUAACCUGGGAUGUUUUAUUAUAGCAAACUGUUGUUCAUGCAACACUUGUGCUCAAAGGGGAAGGCACAGCAUUUCCUACAAUGAGCCACCUUAUCAAGAGUUCAGUUUGUACAAAUUUGUAACAUCACCUUGAAUUUAGUGUGCACCACCUCAAAACUGAGGCAUUCCUCCAAUUAUAAAAACACUUGCAUCCUUUUUGUGCAAGUUUUAAAAAUACAAAGGUUUUUUUUUUUUUUUUCUCUCUAAAGUGGCUCAAAAUAGAUUGUUCAUGGCUGCCUACAUCUAAGAUAAAAAGAGUCUAAAACAAUUGGAUUAGGCAUAUUAAAGGUGUUCAAACCAUGACUUGAUUUGUACAUCUAUUCACACCUCUUUUUUUCGCUCUUUAUUCAGCAGUACAUAUGCACCAAAUUUCAUUUUUAGACGUUUCCAUAUCAUUUUCAUAGAAAACAAAGUUUGAAAACAAGUAACAUUGAAACACAGCACGGUAUCCUACCACAACAGAAACAUUUUGGUUACAGGACUCAACGAAAUCUAAAAAUGAACUAUGCUGGAGAUUACCACAUGCAAGGGUCUUCAUGUUAUCUUUGAAAAUGAAAAGGAUGAGGUUUUAUUACCACAUUUUUACUGCUUUCUACUAUUAUGGCAACUUGUGUACUGCAACACAGUCUAGUCUGAAGGGAAAUGGAUGUUUGGUUUUUUUUUUUUUUUGUUUGCUUGUUUUUCCAUGCAAAAAUCUACAAAUUAGUUUUGAUGAUAUGGAAAAGCUUUUCAUAACAUCAAACAUUCAUCUGGUGCAAAUGCACAGGGAAGCCUUCCUGAAAUUCUGACUUUACAAACAACUAAGAAGCCGUAACAGGAAAAAGAAAUUUAAAAGAACUGAAAGAAAAAAAGAAGAGGGGAAAAAUUAAAAUAAAAUAAAA